rnacentral:rRNA from 1 species
GAUGAACGCUGGCGGCGUGCCUAAUACAUGCAAGUCGAGCGAACAGACGAGGAGCUUGCUCCUCUGACGUUAGCGGCGGACGGGUGAGUAACACGUGGAUAACCUACCUAUAAGACUGGGAUAACUUCGGGAAACCGGAGCUAAUACCGGAUAAUAUAUUGAACCGCAUGGUUCAAUAGUGAAAGACGGUUUUGCUGUCACUUAUAGAUGGAUCCGCGCCGCAUUAGCUAGUUGGUAAGGUAACGGCUUACCAAGGCAACGAUGCGUAGCCGACCUGAGAGGGUGAUCGGCCACACUGGAAUUGAGACACGGUCCAGGCUCCUACGGGAGGCAGCAGUAGGGAAUCUUCCGCAAUGGGCGAAAGCCUGACGGAGCAACGCCGCGUGGGUGAUGAAAGUCUUCGGAUCGUAAAACUCUGUUAUUAGGGAAGAACAAAUGUGUAAGUAACUAUGCACGUCUUGACGGUACCUAAUCAGAAAGCCACGGCUAACUACGUG